UGGGAGAUCGUUCAACGGCAGGACAACGGACUCUGACUCCGUGAAUAGGGGUUCAAAUCCCUUUCUCCCAGCCA
rnacentral:tRNA from 4 species